CCUACGGGUGACAGCAGUGAGGAAUAUUGGUCAAUGGCCGGAAGGCUGAACCAGCCAUGCCGCGUGAAGGUCAGUGCCCUAUGGGCGUUAAACUUCUUUUGUGCGGGAGCAAUAAUGGUCACGUGUGGCCAGACGAGAGUACCGUACGAAUAAGCAUCGGCUAACUCCGUGCCAGCAGCCGCGGUAAUACGGGGGAUGCAAGCGUUAUCCGGAUUUAUUGGGUGUAAAGGGUGCGUAGGCUGUGAGGUAAGUCAGCGGUGAAAUGCCCCCGCUCAACGGGGUGAAGUGCCAUUGAUACUGCCUGGCUGGAAUGCGGAUGCCGUGGGAGGAAUGUGUGGUGUAGCGGUGAAAUGCAUAGAUAUCACACAGAACACCGAUUGCGAAGGCAUCUCACGAAUCCGCGAUUGACGCUGAUGCACGAAAGCGUGGGUAUCAAACAGGAUUAGAUACCCCAGUAGUC
rnacentral:rRNA from 1 species